GACUAUGGUCAUACCACUCUAAAUGUGCCUAGUCUUGUCUGAUCUCAGAAGUUAAGAAGGGUUGGACCUGGUUAGUACUUGGAUGGGAGAAAAAGUUUGCUAACCCUUGUCC
ensembl:rRNA 5S_rRNA 5S ribosomal RNA